rnacentral:misc_RNA from 1 species
UACGAGAGCCUCAAGCGUUACCCGGAAUCACUGGGCGUAAAGGGUGUGUAGGCGGUUAUGUUAGUCUGCUGUUAAAGCCUUGGGCUCAACCCAAGAUCUGCAGUGGAAACGGCAUAACUAGAGGAUGUGAGAGGUUAAGGGAACUCAUGGUGUAGGGGUGAAAUCCGUUGAUAUCAUGGGGAACACCAAAAGCGAAGGCACUUAACUGGCACAUUCCUGACGCUGAGACACGAAAGCCAGGGUAGCGAAUGGG